UUGAACUGGAACAAAGUAAAACAGCAAAAGAAUACAGAGUACAGUGUUGCAGUUGCAGAGAAAAUGUAGUGCAGCUAUCACCUGAAAAACAGCAUUCGGCUGGACUCAAGUGCAGAGGAAAGGCAGGCAUGGGGGUCCCCAGCACCGAACUCAACCCAGGAGCAGAAGAUGGCAGGCUUACAGCUUGACCCAGGAGCAGAGGAUGGCAGAUUCCCUGUGAAGGCACAGAAACAAGAGGUUAGACAUUCCACCAGCACCUCAGGGGAAUGACAACACAAAACAAUUCAUUCUCUCCAACACAACAACUCCACUAAGGCACUUCUUCUAUUUCCGGCUGAUUAGACACAUCUAGGCAUAUUACAGCCCUCCGCAGGAUGUAUAAUUAAUUACGGAACUUCAAGGAACUCAAAUUUUCGAAUACAACCUAGUCUCAAGUAUAAGUCUAUCUCAUGAUAGACUCUUCAAUCAGAUGUUGAUUCUCUUGCACUUAGGCACUAAGCGAGACUCCUCUUUAAAUAAUCAUAUAGGGCAGGAAACAUGUGCCAGUCACAAUUAACUUGACAAGAUUAAACCAAAAACACAAGGGCUUAACGGCUCUAGUUAAGAUAACGAUUAGUAAAUACAGGUGCUCAAGAACCCAGAAGCUCAGAAGGCUGACAGAUGGGUCGGCUGUCUGCACAGCAGAACUUAUAGCCAUUAUUAUUAGUUUGCAAUGGGUUGAACAAGAAAAGGCAUAUAGAGUCAUGAUCUGCUCAGGUUCUGCCUGGGAAUUGCAGAGUUUGGA